rnacentral:rRNA from 1 species
CCUACGGGCGGCAGCAGUGAGGAAUAUUGGUCAAUGGACGAGAGUCUGAACCAGCCAAGUAGCGUGAAGGAUGACUGCCCUAUGGGUUGUAAACUUCUUUUAUAAAGGAAUAAAACGAGGCACGUGUGCCUUUUUGCAUGUACUUUAUGAAUAAGGAUCGGCUAACUCCGUGCCAGCAGCCGCGGUAAUACGGAGGAUCCGAGCGUUAUCCGGAUUUAUUGGGUGUAAAGGGAGCGUAGAUGGGUUGUUAAGUCAGUUGUGAAAGUUUGCGGCUCAACCGUAAAAUUGCAAUUGAUACUGGCAGUCUUGAGUACAGUUGAGGGAGGCGGAAUGCGUGGUGUAGCGGUGAAAUGCAUAGAUAUCACGCAGAACCCCGAUUGCGAAGGCAGCAUACCGGUGCACAACUGACGCUCAGGCACGAAAGCGUGGGUAUCGAACAGGAUUAGAUACCCCAGUAGUC